UGCACCAGCUUCACGAGGAAUCCAAAGACAGCAAACUGCCACCGAGCCGCCUUCAGUUUUGGAGCUGCCAAAGCUGAGCCCCACGCUUCCCGGGAUCCCUUUGUAAGAGGGAAGGCACUCUCUGCAGUAAACUGCACCAGGACCUGGAAAGGAAGACAGCCAGGGAACACCGGGAUCCCCAGUUACCACCAGGAAGUGCUGCUUUGCUGCACAAACAACACUCCCCCUGCUUCUUGCUCCAUCAGCCCCUUUCCUCCAGAGAUCCUCUGCUACAUGCUAUCAAGCCAGAAACCAAAGCCGGAUGCUGCAAAACGCCUCAAUCCCGAGGGAGGACUGAGCUUCCUUCACCUGGCAACAAAAAACAAGACAAGAUCAAGUGAAAUAAAGUAUCACUCUCAUUUCAGCUGCCCUCUGUACUGCUUCUUAACCCCAGCACUGCCAGGAUGAGCAGAAGGGCAAACGCUGUGCCCCGUCCUCUCAGCCCCAAUGCAGCAAGGGCUACAAAGAAAACAAAAUCCACCCACACAGCCUAGGAGGCAGGGAGUGACACAGGCAAACCUGCACACGAGGUACUUCCGCUCUCCGGCUGCAGACAUGCACAAAACCCACCUCCAUCCGUAAGGCCUCUUACAGCUUCAAACCACCCUGGACCUGUAGAAAGAUUAAUAGAAUUCAUUGUGUUAGGGGUCACGUAGCCCAGUGCCCUUGCCGCAAACAGGGACACCUACAUUUAAAUCAGGAUGCUUACAAUCCCAUCCAGAAUGGCCGUGCUCCCCUGCAGCAAAAUCCUCAUCAUCAUACAGCCUCCCUUUCAGUACGAAACCAUAUAGUAGAAUACCCUGGGUUGGAGGGGACUCCAAGGAUCAUUUAAUUCCAACGUGCCCAUCUGAUACUAGGGCAGGAUGGACAGAGCCACAAACGCCUCUAGAGAGGGAGGCAUCCACAGCCUGUUCCUGCACCUCACUGCUGAAUAACUUCCCCCAACAUCCAAACUAAUCCUUGAGCUUAAAACUAUUCCCUCUAGUCCUAUCUCUGUCUACCCAGGUAAAAAGUUGAUUCCCCUCCUUCUUGUAAGCCACUUUUGAAUACUGGAAGGCUGCAAUGAGGUCUUCUUGCAGCCUUCUCUUCCCCCAAAGUGGCCCGGCUCCCUCACCCUACCUCCAUAGGAGAGUUGCUCCGGCCCUGCAUUCAUCUUCACAGACAGCUCCGUGUCCUUCUGGUGUUGGGAACCCCAGACCUGGAAACAGAAUGCAAAAAUAGAGAGGAACAAACCCGCCCCCUUUCCAAUUGAGCCCAGGAUACCCCGUUAACCUUCUAAACUGCUCAAAAUCCCCUUGUUCUGUCAAAACAGACCCUGCAGAACAUUCCACCCUCUUUCUUACAGCCCUCCCUUUACUUGCCAAAAAGCUGCUUUCAAUGCUUCUUGGAGCCUUCUCCAGGAGGAACA
rnacentral:lncRNA from 1 species